AUUGAACGCUGGCGGCAGGCUUAACACAUGCAAGUCGAGCGGAGCGAGGGUGCUUGCACCUUAGCUUAGCGGCGGACGGGUGAGUAAUGCUUAGGAAUCUGCCUAUUAGUGGGGGACAACAUUCCGAAAGGAAUGCUAAUACCGCAUACGCCCUACGGGGGAAAGCAGGGGAUCUUCGGACCUUGCGCUAAUAGAUGAGCCUAAGUCGGAUUAGCUAGUUGGGGGGGUAAAGGCCUACCAAGGCGACGAUCUGUAGCGGGUCUGAGGGGAUGAUCCGCCACACGGGGACUGAGACACGGCCCAGACUCCUACGGGAGGCAGCAGUGGGGAAUAUUGGACAAUGGGCGGAAGCCUGAUCCAGCCAUGCUGCGUGUGUGAAGAAGGCCUUUUGGUUGUAAAGCACUUUAAGCGAGGAGGAGGCUACUUAGAUUAAUACUCUGGGAUAGUGGACGUUACUCGCAGAAUAAGCACCGGCUAACUCUGUGCCAGCAGCCGCCGUAAGAC
rnacentral:rRNA from 1 species